GUGAUUGCCAUCUAUAUUGAAAUAUCAAACUCAAAACAAACUUAGAAUGCUGAAACGUUGGUUCCCUGAUAUCAAAAUCAGAACGGCUGAAAUUAAAACUGAAUCUCAUGUAUUAGACCUGAACAUAACUUUCCCGUUGAAUUCCAGUAUUGGUUCUAAAAAAGAGCUUCAAGUUCAUAUUACAUUCUAAUUUUAACCAUUCAAACUAAUAUAAUACUAACUCUACUAACAAUUAACAUGAGAUCCGACCUUAAAUUAGUAAACUACUAGGAAAAAUAUUCACAAUAUGCUGAAAACAGUUCAAAUAAUUGAAGACAAUCCUAUUAAUACAAAUGAGACCGUUAUCCAAAUAACAUUAUUAAAGUAAGUAUCUAAGCUAAUUAACAAUAGCUAACUUCAUGUGAAAACAAACAGUUCCUCAUUAUUUAACUUCGAAUAUGUUCGUACGUAUUGAUCCAGUCUUCAACAUUACUUGGGGCUGAAAUGUACCUUGAAAUUAGAUCAAAAUAAAGAGGAUUGCAGGUCAGCUAGGCAGCAAUGAAUCAACAGUAAUAAGGUCAGUUUGAACUGAAAAUACUAUCAUAGCAACCCAGGGAUUAAUUGCAGAGAAACAGCACCAACAGACAACCAAAAACAAACUUAAUAGAGCUUGAAAUAACACCCAGACUUCUGAAAUUCUACUGCCGGAAUUCAGAACUUGCAGUGUAACUAAAUUGAAGAUCUAAACUCUAAGAUGGUCAACAAAUUUUCAUAUUUGCAGUAGUUUUUGUUGAUUUUCAGUAUUGGCUUUCAACUUUCAAAGUUUUUGAUUUUUGUUUUUUUGUUUUUUUGGAUUUUCACAUCUGUGUCUACUUCUCAAAUCUUUUGAAUUUGAAUUUCAAAUUAUUUGGAUACCUCUAACUUUGCUUGCAAGGCAGGUAGACUCCCUUUUAUAGGCAACAUGCAGAUUUUAUUUUACACCUCUAGGUCCUUCUUUUAUUUUUUAGUUUUAACUAAUUAGUCCCUGAUAGACUGACUUCUUACCCAAGUUAGAUGACUAAGUUUCUAAAAUUCUAAUUGGAACCCCAUCUAGAAUGUUCUAGGGGUUUUCAAUUUCAGUUACUAUAUGAUUCUCUUGCCUAAAAUACCUAAAUUACCCUUGAACUAUUUAUGAAAUCACCAACCUAUGCUAACUAACCCCAGCCCCUUUUUACCCUGGUCAAAAUUGACUAUGGUUAAUUAACAAAGACCCUAACACUUUCAGCAAUAAUCAAGCAAUACUUGAGUUAAUCAAAACUUCAAAAAUUAAACUAAACCUAAUUUUAACCCUAAGUUAGUCCCUAACAUUUCAAGCUAAUCCAUUAUUGGCAAAAUAGCAAUCGACAAUACUACGUCAUGAAUUUAAACUGACAUCACUACGAAUUAGAGAAGAAUCUAUAAAUUAACUAAUCUGCAAAAAAUGCAAUACUAACUACUGCCAAACAAACAAAAAUAAAAAAUAAAGCAUUUGGACCUAAGAAUUUGGGGAAAGAAUCAGCAACUUAGAACUUCUAGGGUUCUGCAAAUCUACGAUCUGAAAUUGAAGAAAAUCCUGUGAGAUUUAGAGGAAACUAGUUAGAGGUUUGGGAAGAGGGAGAUGAAGAAAGACAAGGGUGUAAUUUUGGUGAGGUUUGGGAGCGGCGCCGCCACAAGAGAACAAAGGCGGCGACGGGUUCAUGGUUUGAAACGAAGAUUCGAGGGGUUUGGGAGAGUUUUAAAGAAAACUGAACUUGGAUUUGGAAUGAGGAGGAGGAGGAGGAGAAGGUCUGAUGUAAAUUUGGGAGUCACCGGAAUAGUUUGUGUCAUCGCCGCCGGCAGACUUAACGGAGAAUGUUAGGGCCGCUGGCUUCUCUAGGGUUUGGAAAGAUAGAGACGGAAUGGGGGGUCUGAAGGGGGUAGGUGUCGUUCGGACAAUUUUAUACAUAUGGAUGGGGCUUCAGGACCGUUAGAUCACAUAACAUCGAUGGUCCUGAUUGCUUGAAUCUAAAACAACGUCGUUUUGGCACUACAGGGCUGGACCGGGUUUCUGAGAUGGGUUUGGUCCAAUUUUGAGGGUGUUUGGAUGGGGCCGGCCCAAAAC
rnacentral:lncRNA from 1 species